rnacentral:rRNA from 1 species
GACGAACGCUGGCGGCGUGCUUAACACAUGCAAGUCGAACGGAAAGGCCCUGCUUUUGUGGGGUGCUCGAGUGGCGAACGGGUGAGUAACACGUGAGUAACCUGCCCUUGACUUUGGGAUAACUUCAGGAAACUGGGGCUAAUACCGGAUAGGAGCUCCUGCUGCAUGGUGGGGGUUGGAAAGUUUCGGCGGUUGGGGAUGGACUCGCGGCUUAUCAGCUUGUUGGUGGGGUAGUGGCUUACCAAGGCUUUGACGGGUAGCCGGCCUGAGAGGGUGACCGGCCACAUUGGGACUGAGAUACGGCCCAGACUCCUACGGGAGGCAGCAGUGGGGAAUAUUGCACAAUGGGCGGAAGCCUGAUGCAGCAACGCCGCGUGCGGGAUGACGGCCUUCGGGUUGUAAACCGCUUUCGCCUGUGACGAAGCGUGAGUGACGGUAAUGGGUAAAGAAGCACCGGCUAACUACGUGCCAGCAGCCGCGGUGAUACGUAGGGUGCGAGCGUUGUCCGGAUUUAUUGGGCGUAAAGGGCUCGUAGGUGGUUGAUCGCGUCGGAAGUGUAAUCUUGGGGCUUAACCCUGAGCGUGCUUUCGAUACGGGUUGACUUGAGGAAGGUAGGGGAGAAUGGAAUUUCUGGUGGAGCGGUGGAAUGCGCAGAUAUCAGGAGGAACACCAGUGGCGAAGGCGGUUCUCUGGGCCUUUCCUGACGCUGAGGAGCGAAAGCGUGGGGAGCGAACAGGCUUAGAUACCCUGGUAGUCCACGCUGUAAACGGUGGGUACUAGGUGUGGGGUCCAUUCCACGGGUUCCGUGCCGUAGCUAACGCUUUAAGUACCCCGCCUGGGGAGUACGGCCGCAAGGCUAAAACUCAAAGGAAUUGACGGGGCCCCGCACGAGCGGCGGAGCAUGCGGAUUAAUUCGAUGCAACGCGUAGAACCUUACCUGGGUUUGACAUGGAUCGGGAGUGCUCAGAGAUGGGUGUGCCUCUUUUGGGGUCGGUUCACAGGUGGUGCAUGGCUGUCGUCAGCUCGUGUCGUGAGAUGUUGGGUUAAGUCCCGCAACGAGCGCAACCCUUGUUCACUGUUGCCAGCACGUUAUGGUGGGGACUCAGUGGAGACCGCCGGGGUCAACUCGGAGGAAGGUGGGGAUGACGUCAAGUCAUCAUGCCCCUUAUGUCCAGGGCUUCACGCAUGCUACAAUGGCUGGUACAGAGAGUGGCGAGCCUGUGAGGGUGAGCGAAUCUCGGAAAGCCGGUCUCAGUUCGGAUUGGGGUCUGCAACUCGACCUCAUGAAGUCGGAGUCGCUAGUAAUCGCAGAUCAGCAACGCUGCGGUGAAUACGUUCCCGGG